UGCCUUUGUGUUGCCCUUUCAUUAUUUUCUUUGUGAAAAGGGUGUCUAUCAAGGCAUACAAUAACUCUGGUAACAGAUGUGGAUUUAACUGAAGGGCAUCUGACGUGAUUCUUUCAUCUUCCUCAUCUGCCAGAACAAUA
rnacentral:snoRNA from 1 species